rnacentral:rRNA from 1 species
UACGUAGGGGUGCGAGCGUUGUCCGGAAUUAUUGGGCGUAAAGAGCUCGUAGGCGGCUUGUUGCGUCAGCUGUGAAAACCCGGGGCUCAACUCCGGGCUUGCAUUCGAUACGGGCAGGCUAGAGUUCGGUAGGGGAGUCUGGAAUUCCUGGUGUAGCGGUGAAAUGCGCAGAUAUCAGGAGGAACACCGGUGGCGAAGGCGGGACUCUGGGCCGAUACUGACGUGAGGAGCGAAAGCGUGGGGGAGCGAACAGG